CAUUGCCUUAAUGAAGCCUCGAUUUGGACAGUUUCUCAGCCUCAAAACUUCUUCAGAAGAGAAAUGGCACCUCUGCCAUGGAAGCCAAACCUUUAUCCAUGUGGAGUGGGCCUUGGGAAAUGCCACUGGUGACCAGCUCCAGGAAAAAGAAUGCAUAGUGUAGAAAAACCACCUGGGCAGCACAUCAUUGCCCCGGGACACAACUUGAUCUCAACCUUGGCUCACAUCACCCAAGCUUCCUGCUCCUUGGUCCAUCUGCUCUGACAAGGAAUAUGUGCCUGAUUCUGACCUGAAUUCUAGGUGGCAUGUGGUCAGGAGAAUAGUUCUGCCUCCAACUGACUGUAUGGCCAUGGGCCAGUCAUUUCUAUGGGCCCUCAGUUUCCCUAUCUGCACAAUGAUGGAACUGGGUUACAGGAACUCCAGAAAACUUGCUCUCAACUUCUGGCCCUAGUAGGACUGAAAAAAUCCAUUUUGAAAAGGUGAUCUUGCCCCCAUCAAUGCUAACCAUGAUUCUGGUCCCGUUGAAAUCCUUUACUCUUACUGCAUAGUCAGACAUGAGUCAUUUGAAGAUGUGAUGGGUAGGUAUGGAUUUUAUUGCUCCUAUAAAUUACAUCACCAUUCAUCUUCAUGGUUUCAUGGGUGGGGAUGAAUGACAGAGGAAGAGCCUUUUGGUCUAUGUAAACUCUCAACCAGCUAGUGAUAAUUUUUUCAAUAAAUCAGGCCCACUUCCACCUCUGCAACCAAUUCCUUCUUGUUCUUUAGGCCACACCUCUCCCACUCAUUUAGCAAAUAUUUAUUGAGCAUCUACAAUGUCCCCUGCUCCGUGACCACUUUUGGAAAGGGUGAGAGUGGAAGGUGGAGAGAAGAUGCAGGAUGGUGGAAAAGUGCUUUUAUGAGUUUCCAACUCUCAUAGUUUAGUCCUGUGCUGUAUAAUGACACUAGCAGUGAAGAUGAAAAUGUUCUAUAAAAUCUGUGCUGUUCAAUAAGGACAAACUUCAUGUUACUAUUGGCCACUUUCAAUGGAAGGCAUGGUUUGAAGUCCCUGUGCUAAGGUAUAAUGACUAUAAGGGAGGAAUAGAGUGCUGGGGGCUUUGUAGCAGACACCAGGACUCAGUCCUCUUAAUCUUCUCUUUGAAGCCUCAGUCUCUUAAUGUGUAGAAUGGGUGGCAAUAAUGCCUAUUUCCAAGAAUUCUUUUGAGGACCAAAGGGUGUGUAGACUUUGGCACAGGGCCUGUUCCAUUGCAGGUGUUCAAUCGGGCACUCCCUUCCCCUCUGUUGUGUUUUCUUAGUUCUCAGGACUCUUGCAUGCUGAGGACAAGUUCAUGCAUCAACCUUGUUAUGGAUUGAAUUGUAUCCCCCCAAAUGAUAUGUUUGAGUCUAUUCCCUGGUCCCAUUAAUGUAUUCCUGUUUGGAAAUAGGAUCUUUGAAGAUGUUAUCAGUUAAG